UACGUAGGGGGCAAGCGUUGUCCGGAUUUAUUGGGCGUAAAGAGCGUGUAGGCGGCCAUGCAGGUCCGUUGUGAAAACUCGAGGCUCAACCUCGAGACGCCGGUGGAAACCGUGUGGCUAGAGUCCGGAAGAGGAGAGUGGAAUUCCUGGUGUAGCGGUGAAAUGCGCAGAUAUCAGGAAGAACACCCGUGGCGAAGGCGGCUCUCUGGGACGGUACUGACGCUGAGACGCGAAAGCGUGGGGAGCGAACAGG
rnacentral:rRNA from 1 species